UACGUAGGGUGCGAGCGUUAAUCGGAAUUACUGGGCGUAAAGCGUGCGCAGGCGGUUCUGAAAGUCAGCUGUGAAAGCCCCGGGCUUAACCUGGGAAUUGCGGUUGAAACUACAGGGCUAGAAUCUGGCAGAGGGGGGUGGAAUUCCACGUGUAGCAGUGAAAUGCGUAGAGAUGUGGAGGAACACCGAUGGCGAAGGCAGCCCCCUGGGCUGAGAUUGACGCUCAGGCACGAAAGCGUGGGGAGCAAACAGG
rnacentral:rRNA from 2 species